GACGAACGUUGGCGGCGUGCUUAACACAUGCAAGUCGAACGGAAAGGCCCUGCUUUUGUGGGGUGCUCGAGUGGCGAACGGGUGAGUAACACGUGAGUAACCUGCCCUUGACUUUGGGAUAACUUCAGGAAACUGGGGCUAAUACCGGAUAGGAGCUCCUGCUGCAUGGUGGGGGUUGGAAAGUUUCGGCGGCUGGGGAUGGACUCGCGGCUUAUCAGCUUGUUGGUGGGGUAGUGGCUUACCAAGGCUUUGACGGGUAGCCGGCCUGAGAGGGUGACCGGCCACAUUGGGACUGAGAUACGGCCCAGACUCCUACGGGAGGCAGCAGUGGGGAAUAUUGCACAAUGGGCGGAAGCCUGAUGCAGCAACGCCGCGUGCGGGAUGACGGCCUUCGGGUUGUAAACCGCUUUCGCCUGUGACGAAGCGUGAGUGACGGUAAUGGGUAAAGAAGCACCGGCUAACUACGUG
rnacentral:rRNA from 1 species